AACAUUUUAUGGCAGCAGAGUUUGAACCAUCAAAGGAACUCACUGGUGGUGCAUGGUAUGUGGAGGGCAAACUCGAUCAAGAAUUCAUUGCUGUUCUUAAAGACUCAUGCUCAAAAAUCAUACGGAAGCUGAAGGUAGUUACGGCAGAGGGAAUUUCUGAUUUUAUCAAGAGGAAUAAAAUCACCACGAUUGAGUGCAAAACCCACCAAAUUGAAG
rnacentral:misc_RNA from 1 species